rnacentral:rRNA from 1 species
AGAACGAACGCUGGCGGCAUGCCUAACACAUGCAAGUCGAACGUGAUCCAGGCUUCGGCCUGGUGAAAGUGGCAGACGGGUGAGUAACGCGUGGGAACCUGCCCUGUGGUAGGGAAUAACCGUGGGAAACUGCGGCUAAUACCCUAUGAGUCCUUCGGGAGAAAGAUUUAUCGCCAUAGGAGGGGCCCGCGUCGGAUUAGGUAGUUGGUGGGGUAACGGCCUACCAAGCCUUCGAUCCGUAGCUGGUCUGAGAGGAUGAUCAGCCACACUGGGACUGAGAUACGGCCCAGACUCCUACGGGAGGCAGCAGUGGGGAAUAUUGGACAAUGGGGGGCAACCCUGAUCCAGCAAUGCCGCGUGGAUGAUGAAGGCCUUCGGGUUGUAAAGUCCUUUCGGCGGGGAAGAUGAUGACGGUACCCGCGAGAAGAAGCCCCGGCUAACUUCGACGCCAGCAGCCGC